rnacentral:misc_RNA from 1 species
UUGAUUUAUUUGUUUAAACCACUCAGAGAAUACUAAAGUAAAAACAAUGGUUUAUGGCCUCCGGCGGGCGCCUGGUUCCGGGUGUGAGCCCGGGGCGUGGCCGCCGAAGCAACUGAGGUAUGUUCACAGGGGUUGGGAGUUGUAAACUCGGUAAUGAUCCCUCCGCUGGUUCACCAACGGAGA